AUUUGCCUUCCUUGCCUGUUUGGCUAUCAGGCUAUGAAGAACUCUCAGAAAAAUAAAAAUAUGAAUUAAGACUAAUGGGGACAUGAAUUUCUUCUCACGCUCACUGCUCUGAGAAAUUUCAUUUCAGGUUCCCAAGUGCAAAUUUCAGACAGUUAAAGUACACAGAAGUUAGCAUGAGCUGCAAGGUCACAGAUGGGAAUAUUCCUUUACCUUAGAUGCGAGUUUAUUGGGCAUUUGUCAUUUUACUAUUAUUUUUCUCUUGUGGGAGAGAAGUUUUUUUUUGCAUUGCUAGGUAACGGCAAUAGAGGAAAGUAGACCUGGAUUAUUUCAUGCAAAAGCAUCUGCCUUUUUACAUCUACACCAACGUGAAGGAAAAAAAAUCUCUUUGCACGGACAUUAAGAGGAAGAAUAACUUCCAGUUAAAGGGCAACAAGUAACCUUGAUGAGACCAUAGAGUUAUUCUGGGUUUAGCUUUCAUCUAAAAACUGGAUGAAAAGAAGAAUGUUUCAUAGGAAGGGAGGGGAAACUCCAGAACUGCCAUUUUUCUUUCUGGGAAAGCUGUAGAAGCACCACGUAAAAAUUACAAUUUUGACUAAGAUAUCCUCACCCAACAAACCAAAGACAACCAACAACCAAAACACCCAAUGUCUUAAAAAUCAGAGUUCUUCUAGCAAUACAGAAUCAGUGCCUUUUAGUAUCACUGCAUUUCUCUGAUGUAGAAAGCAAGGAACACCAGCUAAAUGAAGCACAAUCAGAUCUGCAAUCAAAUGCAGAACUUUGGCCUUUGGCAUCUCUCAAAAAUGAAAGUGACUACUUUUUCAGGCAGAAGGGAAGAAGCAGGAAAAAAAGAAAAAAAAAGAAAAACCAAAACACAAAGAAACAUCACAACCUCAUUGUUAACUCUCCUUCUUACACAAUCAAUGCAACAAGAAUUCUCCAGAGGCUUCGCAGCACAGCUGAAAAUCUGUCCUGUAAUACAUGCAAGACCACAGCUCAAAACGUCAGAACUGCACUGGCAAUGAUCUGGGCUUGAUCUUUUUGACUUAUACCACAGUAAACCAAAUUGAAUUACAUGGAAUGAAACAAAAUUUCUUGAGUUCUAAAUCAGUACCCUUUUAGAACAAAUAUUGAUGAAAUUAUCCCACUGGUUGGACAGAAGGAUUCAAUACUUUCGGUGAUAAUUUCUUUGAACCAAAGGUUUUGUAUAUAGGGCAUAGGAUAAUAUUGUUUUAAAUAAAGUUAUAUUCAGUCUGUCAUUCUAGAGAAGCUGGAUGUACUGAAAUAAGAUAAUAGGAUUAAAUAAUGGUGAUAAUGUGGAAUACAUAUAAAAGGAGACACUAAAUUUGUAUUGCAGAGACCAGGGAAUGUAGUCCUUAUUUUCUAUACCCAUGGCACUGUAAAUGCUCAAAAAAUCCCUGGAGGUCUUAUAGGAAACAAAAGGUGUAAAGAAGAGAUGGGCUUUCAAAUGAUGACUGCUGAACUAUUGUGUGCAAGAGGAAAAAAAAAUUAAUCUGCUC
ensembl:lncRNA